CGGCCGCGCGCCUUGUGGAUGUGUAUCAUCUUUCACAUGAUAAACUAUUAUUACUUAGUUCACGUGACUAACUGAGAGAAUACACAAGUUAAACAUACCAGGAGAAAUCAACGGUUAUCAAAAAGUCAACUUAAUUAUAUCUCGUCCUCAGGUAAAUAACUAAAAUGGGUAAGGGUGAAGGAGGCGCCGGAAUUUUAUGGGCCUUUCUGUGGUUUCUGGUUUUAAUAUUUCUCGGAUGGCCGAUCGCGUUCUUCAUCGCUUGGUUGUACGUUCUUCUACUUCCAUUUGGAGCCUGCAUUGCACCAAUCAAAGACGUUAACCAACAAAUACUUCGAGUUGUGCAACUUCCGUUGACAUGCGCAGAGAAUAUGGUUGGAAUGAAACCCAUGUGUUAAACAUAUAUAAUUUUUUAAAUGUACUCUUGCAUACUAUGAAGGCAGCAAAGUACAAACUAUCAUGUUAUUUAUUUUAUAUCAAAUGUUUAUAUUUUUAGUUGUUGUGUCUGCAUGCAUGCCAUUUUACAUUUUUGUAUCCAAACAUUAGAAACAAAAUAAAUGGAAACUUGUUA